UACGGAGGGGGCUAGCGUUGUUCGGAAUUACUGGGCGUAAAGCGCGCGUAGGCGGCUUUGUAAGUUAGAGGUGAAAGCCCGGGGCUCAACUCCGGAAUUGCCUUUAAGACUGCAUCGCUAGAACGUCGGAGAGGUGAGUGGAAUUCCGAGUGUAGAGGUGAAAUUCGUAGAUAUUCGGAGGAACACCAGUGGCGAAGGCGACUCACUGGACCGCUGUUGACGCUGAGGUGCGAAAGCGUGGGGAGCAAACAGG
rnacentral:rRNA from 1 species